UACGAAGGGGGCUAGCGUUGCUCGGAAUCACUGGGCGUAAAGGGUGCGUAGGCGGGUUCUUAAGUCAGAGGUGAAAUCCUGGAGCUCAACUCCAGAACUGCCUUUGAUACUGAGAGUCUUGAGUUCGGGAGAGGUGAGUGGAACUGCGAGUGUAGGGGUGAAAUUCGUAGAUAUUCGCAAGAACACCGGUGGCGAAGGCGGCCCACUGGAUCGGUACUGACGCUGAGGUGCGAAAGCGUGGGGAGCAAACAGG
rnacentral:rRNA from 1 species